rnacentral:lncRNA from 1 species
AAACUGUUGAAAAGAUUUCCUUGUUCUUUUAUCUUUUGAAUCAGUGUCAUACUAACAAAAAGAUGUUUUGAAGUCUUUAACCAUUAAUUGACUAACUGGUUUUCUUUAGACAUAAAACUUGUCAAGGUCUUGAUUGUUGUGAAUCCAUGGUGAUAGAUUCUGGCUGACUGCCUAAGUACAAGGUCUCUGAACACUAGGAUAACACUUUCUGAAACAGUUGGGGCUUAUCCCCCAUAAUGCCAUUUAAACAAACUUAAUUGACUAAAACUUUCACUUCUGUGCAUUCUCUAUGAGGUACUAUUUGCAAGAAGAGGCCUUUUAGGAAUAGACCCUAAGUGACAAAAUCUGACCUCUACCUAGCCUUAGAUUUCUCAGUUCUUUUCUCAGUUUAUUUACACAAAAUAAACCAGUAUGAACUGCCUUAAAAAUUCACUACAAGCAAAGAGUCUCUCAUACAUCAUCUUUUUUCACUAUUCUAUUUCACUAUUAUUCUAACCUUAGAAUGAGUCCAAAUUGUGACUCUAUGAACAGCAUAGAAUUCACACACUUCUGCAGUAAGACUAAUCAUUAUCUUCAGAUUAGUGCCUAUGUAUGUCAGUCAGUAGGCUUAUUCUAUAUGAAAUGAAUAAAUAGUUUUAGACAAAGGUCUAAAACUUUUUUUUUUCCUUUUCUUUUUUUUUUUCCUGUUGUUAUUGCAGUGAAGCUUUAUUAAAGAGACACUGCUGGGAUAAUUUUCUUCAAUUUUGAUUUCUGGGCAUAUGCUGAACAUCUGUCUCUACAGAAUCAAGUCUACUGAGAGCAUACUGCACAAAGCUUAACAACACAAUUUCAGAACAGUAAAAGAAAAUGUUUUUGAAGGAAAAGUGUUUCUGCCAAUAAUGCUAGGGUGCUGAAAUGUACAGUGAUUUGUAUUUUGAUGUGCUGCAUCCAUACAACUGGAAAUUGGACAGAGUAAAAACUACUACUAAGAAAAUGCUCGAGACUGGCAAGAAGAAAGUAUCUGCCACCACUGAAAAAAGGAUGCCUAAUACUUAUAGAGCUCACUUUUAUGCAAAAUGAAAUGCCUUCAAAGGAGCAAAUGGAGAUUUCUCCCACAUCAGAAUAUCCGGUGACUGAGGAACCCAAAUAAGAAGUGAGGAUUGUGGGUUUCAAAUCUUUCAGAUCGGAGAAUUGAUGCAUAUUCCUCUGCCUCAAGACAAGUACUUCAAGCACAGAGAAAGAAAGCAGCAGAUGAUGGUAGUAGCUGUUCUUUCCUGGUAGGAAAAAAUACAUCUCCACAAAGAGAAGAUUAAGGGCUGUGAAUUGUACAAGAGGGGGGACAUUUCCCAGCAAGUCUGAGAUAGAUUGGUGUGCUUGAGAAUCUGGGCUGAUGCUUACUAACUUCAGUGAAAUUAAACCAUUACAUUGCAGCUGCAGUUUUAGAUCUUGUGAUGGCUGAAAGGGUGUUAGUAGUGGGAUCACCUCCCUUAGGAGCGAGUCCUAGCAUCUGAGCUGUCUGUCCCAGCUGAA